rnacentral:tRNA from 1 species
GCCAAAGUGUCCGAAGGGGUACAAGGUCAAGAAGUGAUCGCGGGGUCUUACGAGGAGGACUUAAAAUCCUCCCAGUGUGGGUUCGACCCCCACUCGGGGCACCA